GACGAACGCUGGCGGCGUGCUUAACACAUGCAAGUCGAACGGAAAGGCCCUGCUUUUGUGGGGUGCUCGAGUGGCGAACGGGUGAGUAACACGUGAGUAACCUGCCCUUGACUUUGGGAUAACUUCAGUAAACUGGGGCUAAUACAGGAUAGGAGCUCCUGCUGCAUGGUGGGGGUUGGAAAGUUUCGGCGGUUGUGGAUGGACCCGCGGCUUAUCAGCUUGUUGGUGGGGUAGUGGCUUACCAAGGCUUUGACGGGUAGCCGGACUGAGAGGGUGACCGGCCACAUUGGGAUUGAGAUACGGCCCAUACGCCUACGGGGGGCAGCAGUGGGGAAUAUUGCAAACUGGGCGGAAGCCUUAUGCAGCAACGCCGCGUGCGGGAUGACGGCCGUCGGGUUGUAAACCGCUUUCGCCUGUGACGAAGCGUGAGUGACGGUAAUGGGUAAAGAAGCACCGGCUAACUACGUG
rnacentral:rRNA from 1 species